AAGAAACAACAUGCCCAUGAAGAAAUAUGGAAGUACUGUGGUGGGCUGCCUUUGGCCAUAGUGACCAUGGCUGGUCUUGCCGCCUGCAACCCAGCCAAAAAGAAUGACCAUGGCCAUUGGAGGAAAGUUUGCAAGUCAUUGUUUCAAGAGAAGGUGGCUCCACUUACCCUGGAUGGAGUCACAAGGAUACUCGAUUACUGCUACAAUGAUUUGCCUCCAGAUCUCAAGACCUGCUCAUUGUACUUGAGCAUAUUUCUAAUGGGUUUGAAGAUUUGUACGAAGCGCCUGACCAGGAGAUGGAUAUCUGAAUGCUUUGUCACUGAGAAGCAAGGUCUGACAGCAGAGGAGGUCCCAGAAACAUACUUCAAUCAACUCAUAAGUAGGAAGAUAAUACGCUCUGUUGAUCACAACCGCAACGGCAAGGUAAAAUCCUUUAAAGUUCACGAUAUGAUUCUUGAAUAUAUCGUGUCCAAAGCAAGCCAGGAAAAUUUUAUCACUGUCGUCGGCGGGCACUGGUUGAUGCCAACUCCUAGCAACAAAGUCCGUCGACUCUCCAUGCAGAGUAGUGGUUCUUAACAAGGGAAUCCAACAGAAGGCAUGGAUUUGUCUCAAGUACGGUCACUAACCGUAUUUGGAAGCCAAGACCGACCACUGCCUUUUCACUCAUUCAAUAAUGGAAUAAUUCAAGUGUUUGAUCUGGAGGGUUGGAAGGGAUUGACAAAUAAACAUAUGGAGGACAUAUGUAAAAUGCUUGUACUGAAGUAUUUGAGCCUCCGUCGAACAGAGAUUUCCACGAUUCCAUCAGAGAUAGAGAAGAUCCAGGAUCUGGAAACUUUUGAUGCAAGGGAGACAAAUGUCGGAGAUCUACCCAAAACUUUUGGCAAUCUCAAACGGCUCCGCAGUUUGCUUGGGGGAAGUAAAAAAUCACGGAAGGCUUUGAAGAUGCCUCAAUAGAAAAAUAAGGUGACAAGGAAAGCACUUCGUGUACUGUCAGGGAUCGAGAUCAGUGAAGGCUCGACCACUGCUGCAAGUCUUGAUCAGCUAACUGGGCUAAGGAAACUUGCCAUUUACAAGCUCAAUAUUAUUGAGGGUCAAAAAACCUUCAUAGAUUUAUGCUCCUCCAUUCAGUACCUCUGCAGCUGCGGUCUACAGACACUUGCAAUCAAUGAUGAGAGCUCUAAUUUUAUCAACUCACUAGACUCCAUGUCCGCUCCUCCAAGAUACCUCACUGGUCUGGAGCUGUCUGGCAUGUUGGAAAAGCCUCCAAAGUGGAUCGUGGAGCUCAAGAACCUCUACAAGCUGACCCUUUCUGUGACAGUUCUUAAGACUGAUACUUUCAAGCUCAUCCAGGACCUGCCCGAAUUGUUUUCUCUCACCUUUACACUCAAU
rnacentral:rRNA from 1 species